AUUUCUAUCUUUAUCUAUAUCUCUAUCUUGGUUGGUGUCUUGGAGAAAGGUUUUGGCCAUUUCCGAAUCCUAAUCCGAAUCGCCUGCUUGCUUGCGUUCAGAUUUUGAGGGUGUGAAGGAUCGGAAGGUUGUUCUAUAUCCAUGGCUUCAAUGAUCAGUCUCUUCUCUUCUCUAAAAAAAAACAAGGUAAAGCUUAUGGGAGACGAGAGGAUCCGCGAAUAUCCUUCGAACUCGAAGGAUAUCCCAUAACAGGGAGUAUCUCCUAUUUUUUCUUUUAAUUUACGCUUUCCAUUUAUUUUAUUUUCUUGCAUAUCCCGGGACUUGCA